rnacentral:rRNA from 1 species
GAAGGUGCUAGUUAAUAGAGAUUAUGAAAAGUCUUUAGUUUAAUGUGGUUUACAUGGGCCUAAGUAAAUAUAUUUGAAAGGUUUAUAUGGUUGUGAUAAAAUAAGUGUACUGAGAAGGAUAUUAUAAGUAAAUUAAAUAAUAAUAGUAGUAGUUGUGCGUACCUUUUGUAUCAUGGUCUUCUAAGGUUUGUUUGUAUAGCGGCUUCCCGAAAAGGAGUGAUCUAUUUUUUUCCGAGUUCAGCGUGGUAAAGCUGUCUUUUAAGAAAAAAAUAGGGGUGAGAUGCCUGUCGUACUCUUUGAUAGCUGGUUAGCUGAGAGAGGCAUAUAAGUGCUCUUAUAGCAAAUUAGCCUCUUAAGUGUUUGGUGGUUGUGUAUAAUAUGCGGAGAUGACUCCGUGUAUUGUAAUUGUUAUGGGCUAGGUGUAAGGGGUAAGCUCUUGCACUGGUUUAAAGUUAAUUAGUAUAAGUUAUGCGACUGUAGUGGUGUUUAGUGGGCUUGGUGUUGGCCAUCUUUUUGAAAAUUGUUGUAAAAUAACUCCUGAGUGUUGUUUAUUAAAAUUUGUAUGUGUAUGCUUAAACUGUAGUAUCGGCUUUUUAAGUUUAAUUUUUUACUUAAGUGAUUCUGGAAGGAUGAGUAUAUUGAUUUUUUUUGUUUAAUGUUGUGUGUCGGUUAAUUAUGUUGAAUGUAAUGACUUGUAAGUAGGAUUGAAUGGUAUUUAGUGAUCUAAUUUCUGAAAAGGAACUCGGCAAAAAUUGUGUGCCCCGCCUGUUUAUCAAAAACAUGUCUCUUUGUUAUGUAAAGAUAGGGAGUCUGGCCUGCCCAGUGACUGGAAAGUUAAACGGCUGCAGUAUACAUGACUGUACAAAGGUAGCGUAAUCAUUUGCCCUUUAAUUGGGGGCCCGUAUGAAUGGUUUGACGAGGGCACAACUGUCUUUUUGUGAAAUACAUAGAAAUUAUUUUUUAGGUGAAAACUCCUAAGUCUUGUUGGGGGACGAGAAGACCCUAUUGAGCUUUAGUGAUGUUUCUGAUGAUGUCUUAUAGAGUAUUAUAUUGAUAAUUAGAAACGGUUCUUUAGUUGGGGCAACUGAGGGGCAAGCGAAACCCCCUUUAAUAUAAGUGUGGUUGAUAGAUGUUAGAUCCAGUGUGUAUAUACUGAUCUAAAGAAGAAGUUACCAUAGGGAUAACAGCGCGAUUUUUUUGGAGAGUUCUUAUUGAUAAAAAAGUUUGCGACCUCGAUGUUGGACUAAGGUACCCCGAAGGUGUAGCAGCUUUUAGUGGUUAGUCUGUUCGACUAUUAAAAUCUUACGUGAUCUGAGUUAAGACCGGCGUAAGCCAGGUCGGUUUCUAUCUCCAGCUAAGGUGGUAUUGGUAUUUUGGUUAGUACGAAAGGAUUACUUUAAAGUUAAAUUUUAUUUAUUAGUUUGU